rnacentral:rRNA from 1 species
UACAGAGGUCUCAGGCGUUGUUCGGAAUCACUGGGCGUAAAGGGUGCGUAGGUGGCGUGGCAAGUCAGAUGUGAAAGCCCGGGGCUCAACUCCGGAACUGCAUCCGAUACUGCCAUGCUAGAGCGCUGAAGAGGUGACCGGAAUUCUCGGUGUAGCAGUGAAAUGCGUGGAUAUCGAGAGGAACACCAAAGGCGAAGGCAGGUCACUGGGCAGUUGCUGUCACUGAGGCACGAAGGCCAGGGUAGCGAACGGG